CCUACGGGCGGCAGCAGUGAGGAAUAUUGGUCAAUGGGCGGAAGCCUGAACCAGCCAAGUAGCGUGCGGGAUGAAGGCCCUACGGGUCGUAAACCGCUUUUGCACGGGGAUAACACCCUCCACUUGUGGAGGUCUGCAGGUACCGUGCGAAUAAGGGCCGGCUAAUUCCGUGCCAGCAGCCGCGGUAAUACGGAAGGCCCGAGCGUUAUCCGGAUUCAUUGGGCUUAAAGGGAGCGUAGGCGGGCGUUCAAGUCAGCUGUAAAAUCGCGCGGCUCAACCGCGCCCCGCAGUUGAAACUGGACGCAUUGAGUUCACAACAGGCAGGCGGAAUUCGUGGUGUAGCGGUGAAAUGCAUGGAUAGCACGAGGAACCCCGAUUGCGAAGGCAGCCUGCCGGGGUGCGACUGACGCUGAGGCUCGAAGGUGCGGGUAUCAAACAGGAUUAGAUACCCGAGUAGUC
rnacentral:rRNA from 1 species